UAUCCCUGUGGACUAGUUGGUCAGCUUGAACAGUGUGGGAACAGUAUAACCUACGAGGAUUAAUAGAGAAAGAAGGGGAGAUGAGCCUAGCACAGUACUUUAAAUAAACAUCCAGUUCAGUAUUUUCCCAUUAAAACACUUUGCUAUUAGUGAUAUAGUACUAUAUUAACUAAGCAUGGUACAUUGUUUAAACUGCUAUUAAACGCUAGAAUUUUCCUUUCUUGUUGGGCUUAACGGCUAUCGACCUAUAAGGACCUUCUGAAAGUUUAUGUACACAGUUGCUAAAGUACUCACCGUCUGCCUCGUUGUUUGUGUGCUCAUUGACGUCAUAACCCAGCAACCUUUAAUACCAGUAAGGAGCACCAGGCCAUCAUAGUGACGUGACUCAAGCAUAAACCUGUAAUCAACAUUGGUCAGUGGCACCAACGAUCUGCUUGGAGACAUAACAAUAGCACUCAAAUUCUCGCUUCAGUUGUUGUCAUCUCGUGCGUUCAUUUGGUACAGAAAUAAGAGAUGUGACACAGCAAUAAGGGGUCACAACUUGGAAGUUGAAAAUUCAGAUGAGUCACAGGGACUCAGCCAUAGAGUUGUCAGGAAGUGGAAGUCUAGAGUGAUGUAGUGGAGGCAGGAGCCAUACAUGUCUUUAAGAAGACAUGAUAAAACUCAUGGAGCAGGGAGUGAACAUAGUAGUGACCAGUGAAGAGCGGGGCCACGAGCUGUGACUCGAUCCCUGCAACCACAAUCAGGUCUGGAGAGCUGCAGCUGUAGUGCCAAGUUUCUGGACAGGUCCAGAGAAGUAGCACACAUGGUCAAGUCCGGGGACUCCAUUGGCUCUCAUCCAGCCACCUGCAACACCACCACUCACGGCGAUCCUCGGUGAUAUCCACACGUCUAGUGGACCAAAAAGUGACUUGGCCAUGCCCAUGUACUUAGGCCCGCUGCCUUCGCUACUCAGGAAAUAUCAACAACGUCCCUUCCAAACUUUGUCCCCAUCAGUACUCAGUCCUCCGUGUGCUUUCAAGCUGUUGUGGUGAUCAAAGCCACUAUGCAGCUUUAAAACCACAUGGAAGGUUGGGCACUGAUAUGGGGAGGGUGUCUGGAAAGAGCGUUAUCGAUACUUCAUAGCUGGGUGAGGAAGGCGGUGGGUCCAGGGUAGUCUGGACGUGACCAGGUGCAGACAGGUAUGGUGAAAAGUGUUUGCAAAGUCAUUAUUCUGACUACCUAACACCCAGUGUUGAGCUGUAUCGUCAUGAUAAAGCUCAGCACUGAGGGAUAAGGAAGUCAGAACACAGGCUAAUGAAAGCAAACUGCCAUUGUGCAGCUGUAGUGUCGGCUACGUGGCUGUCAUGAAUGACUACAUCUACAGUAGCAACACACUCGCUGCCUAAAUAAUAGUUCUGUAUUUUUCUAAUACAUUGCAUGAAUAAAUUUAUGGUAUCA